AUGAUGCUAAUGAUAUGCAAAGCCACAAGCUUGGGGAAGCUAUGUUUGAUGAAUAUGAUAUUUUUUUGUCCCCCAAGUUUUGAUGAGAAAAUUUAUUAUGAUGAAAGCAUGCCUCCUAUUUAUGAUGAUUAUAUUGAUGAAAGUGGAUUUGGAGAGGUCAUGACUUUAUUUUGUGAUGAAUCCACUAUUCCGGAAGAGGUUCCAAUUGAUUAUGAGAACAAAGUUGCCAUCUAUGAUGAUUAUUGUGAUGACUUGUAUGCUAUAAAGAAUAAUGAUAUCCAUGAAACUUGUCAUCAUGAUUUUAGUUUUCAAUUGGAUUAUGCCUCACAUGAUAAUUAUUUUGUUGAGUUUGCUCCCACUAUUAUUCAUGAGAAGAAUUUUGCUUAUGUGGAGAGUAAUAAAAUUUCUAUGCUUGUAGAUCAUGAAAAGAAUGCUUUAGGUGCUGGUUAUAUUUUUGAAUUCAUUCAUGAUGCUACUGAAAAUUAUUAUGAGGGAGGAACAUAUGCUUGUAGGAAUUGCAAUAAUAUCAAGUUUCCUCUCUAUGUGUUGAAAAUCUCGAAGCUAUGCUUGUUUUACCUUCCUAUGCAAGUUGAUUCUUGUUCCCAUAAGUUGUUUUCUCACAAAAUCCCUAUGCAUAGGAAGUGGGUUAGGCUUAAAUGUGCUAGUCAUAUUCUUCAUUAUGCUCUCUUUAUGUUUCAAUUCUUAUCCUUUAUGUGA
rnacentral:rRNA from 1 species